AACAAACCCGGCUAUUAGGGUUAGAUUGGUUUUUAUUUUUUCUUAAGAGGCAGGAAGUCCUGCCCUGCUUCUUAACGUCCUUUGACCGACAGGUUGAUUGACAGCUCUGGGUUGUAUCAACUUUUUCUCAGCGCGCAGGCACCUCAGCUGGAAGUACCCACGCGAAGCCCACAGCCGCCUCCUAACACGGCCACUCGAAUUCAAGAUUAUCUCUGAUAAGGUUAACCUGCUACUGCCGCCUUGCAACAGAAUUUUAACCACCUGAGGCCUCUCACUGCACCCAGUUCAGCUUAAGUCGGACCCAGAAUGAGCCCAGACCAGGUCUGGUUUCUAACCCAGCCCAGCCGGGACGCGGUCGGGUUUGUAAGUCGGACCCAGGCCGGCUCUGCCCGUUUCCCAUCCAGUCUGGAAACAGACAUGCCCGAAUGAACCCUGACCUGCCUACCGAAAUCCCGACUGCAGAAGCUGCGGAGGAUCCCGGAGGGCCCUGGGCUCGCCCUGCCGGCGGCGAGGGAGGAAGCCGUCCGCGAGCGCGGAAACCGCGAGUCCCGCGCCCACCAGGUACCCCGUGCGCUGGCUCGUCGCUCCCGCGGGUCGUCGGGGCACCUCUGAAGUCUCCCUGCCCCACGGUUACUAUGAAAACAUAAACUGAGGCAUGUUAAAAUUUUUGAGAGUUUAUUUGAGCGACAGUGGUUUUGAGUCGGGCCGCGUCUAAUCCAACAGCAAGGCGCCUAGACGAGCUGUACAACCUGAGACGUUCAGAGGCUGAAGGCAGGGAAACAAGGAGUUAGAAUAAGCAGAAAACGGGGUGAGGGGGAGCUGGUUAUUGUAAGGUUACUUUCCUUUAGGGAACGGCAGGGGUCUGGCAGGCAGAUCACUUAACUAGCACUGCUCAGGUGAUACCUAAUUGGUUUAAGAUUGCAGUUCUAGGAAAAGCAAAACUGUAAUAAAGUUUCUGUUUGGUGAUACGGGGUUUAGAAUAAACAACUCCGUUUUGGG